AUUGAACGCUGGCGGCAGGCCUAACACAUGCCAGUCGAGCGGAUGAAGGGAGCUUGCUCCUGGAUUCAGCGGCGGACGGGUGAGUAAUGCCUAGGAAUCUGCCUGGUAGUGGGGGAUAACGUCCGGAAACGGGCGCUAAUACCGCAUACGUCCUGAGGGAGAAAGUGGGGGAUCUUCGGACCUCACGCUAUCAGAUGAGCCUAGGUCGGAUUAGCUAGUUGGUGGGGUAAAGGCCUACCAAGGCGACGAUCCGUAACUGGUCUGAGAGGAUGAUCAGUCACACUGGAACUGAGACACGGUCCAGACUCCUACGGGAGGCAGCAGUGGGGAAUAUUGGACAAUGGGCGAAAGCCUGAUCCAGCCAUGCCGCGUGUGUGAAGAAGGUCUUCGGAUUGUAAAGCACUUUAAGUUGGGAGGAAGGGCAGUAAGUUAAUGCCUUGCUGUUUUGACGUUACCAACAGAAUAAGCACCGGCUAACUUCGUG
rnacentral:rRNA from 1 species